rnacentral:lncRNA from 1 species
ACUAUCCUUCCCAGCCACCACCCACAAAUCCCUCACACACAAAAUCCCUCACCCCCUUCGAAACCCACUCCUAGUAAAAGAAACAAAGAAAGAAAUGGAAAAGAGGGAACGGGGAGAGCAGAGGGGAAGGGAGAUCGGUGAGGAAAAAAGAGAAGAGGAAGGAGUUACGCCACCACCGCCGGCCGUGGGUUCGCCAUUCAUGCUCCGUCGAAUCACCGCCCAGCCGCGUCCAACUCACCACCAGUCGCCGAUAUCGUGUGUUGCCGUUGAAGGAGGAGCGCGAACCAGAGCCAUGGAAGGGAGAAGCAGGGCGCGCGUAGAGGAGUA